GUUUUUAUAAUUUAAUAAAAAUAUUGGUCUUGUAAAUCAAAAAUAAGUACAAACUUUAAAAACU
rnacentral:tRNA from 1 species